GAAGGGGGCUAGCGUUGUUCGGAAUCACUGGGCGUAAAGCGCGUGUAGGCGGACUGUUAAGUCGGGGGUGAAAUCCCGAGGCUCAACCUCGGAAUUGCCUUCGAUACUGGCAGUCUUUGAGUCCGGGAGAGGUGAGUGGAACUCCUAGUGUAGAGGUGAAAUUCGUAGAUAUUAGGAAGAACACAGUGGCGAAGGCGGCUCACUGGCCCGGUACUGACGCUGUGACGCGAAAGCGUGGGGAGCAAACAGGAUUAGAUACCCUGGUAGUCCACGCCGUAAACGAUGGAAGCUAGCCGUCGGACAGCUUGCUGUUCGGUGGCGCAGCUAACGCUUUAAGCUUCCCGCCUGGGGAGUACGGUCGCAAGAUUA
rnacentral:rRNA from 1 species